CCUACGGGUGGCAGCAGUGGGGGAUAUUGCACAAUGGGGGGAACCCUGAUGCAGCGACGCCGCGUGGGUGAAGAAGCGCCUCGGCGCGUAAAGCCCUGUCAGCAGGGAAGAAAAUGACGGUACCUGACUAAGAAGCCCCGGCUAACUACGUGCCAGCAGCCGCGGUAAUACGUAGGGGGCAAGCGUUAUCCGGAUUUACUGGGUGUAAAGGGUGCGCAGACGGCGAGGCAAGCCAGGCGUGAAAGCCCGGGGCCCAACCCCGGGACUGCUCUUGAAACUGCGUGGCUGGAGUGCAGGAGGGGCAGGCGGAAUUCCUGGUGUAGCGGUGAAAUGCGUAGAUAUUAGGAGGAACACCGGUGGCGAAGGCGGCCUGCUGGACUGCAACGGACGCUGAGGCCCGAAAGCGUGGGGAGCAAACAGGAUUAGAUACCCUUGUAGUC
rnacentral:rRNA from 1 species